rnacentral:rRNA from 1 species
GACGAACGCUGGCGGCGUGCCUAAUACAUGCCAGUAGAACGCUGAAGGAGGAGCUUGCUUCUCUGGAUGAGUUGCGAACGGGUGAGUAACGCGUAGGUAACCUGCCUGGUAGCGGGGGAUAACUAUUGGAAACGAUAGCUAAUACCGCAUAAGAGUAGAUGUUGCAUGACAUUUGCUUAAAAGGUGCAAUUGCAUCACUACCAGAUGGACCUGCGUUGUAUUAGCUAGUUGGUGGGGUAACGGCUCACCAAGGCGACGAUACAUAGCCGACCUGAGAGGGGGAUCGGCCACACUGGGACUGAGACACGGCCCAGACUCCUACGGGAGGCAGCAGUAGGGAAUCUUCGGCAAUGGACGGAAGUCUGACCGAGCAACGCCGCGUGAGUGAAGAAGGUUUUCGGAUCGUAAAGCUCUGUUGUAAGAGAAGAAUGAGUGUGAGAGUGGAAAGUUCACACUGUGACGGUAUCUUACCAGAAAGGGACGGCUAACUACGUG